UACGAAGGGGGCCAGCGUUGCUCGGAAUCACUGGGCGUAAAGGGUGCGUAGGCGGGUCUUUAAGUCAGGGGUGAAAUCCUGGAGCUCAACUCCAGAACUGCCUUUGAUACUGAAGAUCUUGAGUUCGGGAGAGGUGAGUGGAACUGCGAGUGUAGAGGUGAAAUUCGUAGAUAUUCGCAAGAACACCAGUGGCGAAGGCGGCUCACUGACCCGAUACUGACGCUGAGGCACGAAAGCGUGGGGAGCAAACAGG
rnacentral:rRNA from 1 species